CAAAGUAUGAUGGGUGCUGUUUCUGUAUCCAUAUUAGUCUAUCUAUUUCCUUCAGCAAUAUAGACAAACUUGAAUUUGCCCUUUUCUUCUAUUGAAUGCUAUCAUGGUGUUGUAAUUGCCCCUGGAUUGUAUCAGUUGGUUAGGGAAAAUAAAAUACCAAAAGAAAAACCGUUAAAUUUGGAGAAAGUACUAGGCAAAUUACAUUUAAUUCAUUUUAAUUUGGGUUUAUAUAAGUGAUUGAGUUAUUUUACACAUCAAAAUGACGAACCAAUUUAAUGUUGUGAUCCAAAUAUUUAUAUAUUGUCCUUUUACUUUAUUUUCUUUCAAUGUGGGAUUCCCAACAAUAUUACCUCAAGUCAAUUAUAUGGUUGUCACUUGACAAUUAGCUAGUAUUUUAACACAAUAUAGACUCAAUUAUACAGUCUUAUGGAUGGCUGAAACCUCACAAUCCAGUCCGGAUUCUAAUACCAUGUUAAGUUUAGAGAGAGUACAAGGUAAAUUAUGUAUUUAUUCAUUUUAAUUUGGACUUGUAUAAGUUAUUGAUUUACUUUACAUAUCAAAAUGAUUA
rnacentral:misc_RNA from 1 species